rnacentral:rRNA from 1 species
AUUCCAGCUCCAAGAGCGUAUAUUAAAGUUGUUGCAGUUAAAAAGCUCGUAGUUGGAUUUCUGGUCUAAUGCGCCUGGCCCGCUGCCGUUAGGUAUGUGAGUGCCGGUGCGCGUUUACCAUCCUUCCAGAGAACACUUCUACCAUUUAUUUGGACGGAUGUUGUCUUCUGGAUCUUUUACUUUGAAAAAAUUAGAGUGUUUAAAGCAGGCCUUUGCUGUGAAUACAUUAGCAUGGAAUAAUAAUCUAGGACUUUGGUUCUAUUUUGUUGGUUUCUAGUACUGAAGUAAUGAUUGAUAGGGAUAGUUGGGGGCAUUCAUAUUCCAUUGUCAGAGGUGAAAUUCUUGGAUUAACGGAAGAUGAACUUCUGCGAAAGCAUCUGCCAAGGAUGUUUUCAUUA